AUUGAACGCUGGCGGCAGGCUUAACACAUGCAAGUCGGGCGAGUGGCGGACGGGUGAGUAAUGCAUGGGAAUCUGCCUGAUGUAGGGGGAUAACUACUGGAAACUGUAGCUAAUACCGCAUCCCAUCAGAUGAACCCAUAUGGGAUUAGCUUGUAGGUAAGGUAACGGCUUACCUAGGCGACGAUCCCUAGCUGGUCUGAGAGGAUGAUCAGCCACACUGGGACUGAGACACGGCCCAGACUCCUACGGGAGGCAGCAGUGGGGAAUAUUGCACAAUGGGCGCAAGCCUGAUGCAGCCAUGCCGCGUGUAUGAAGAAGGCCUUCGGGUUGUAAAGUACUUUCAGUCGGGAGGCGUUACCGACAGAAGAAGCACCGGCUAACUCCGUGCCAGCAGCCGCGGUAAUAC
rnacentral:rRNA from 1 species